UGUGUUCAUUUGGUUGUACGGUAAGGAUUGCCCAGCGGUCUAAAAGCCAAUGCACCCUCCAUCUAUCUCUGUUGCAUCAGGAAUCAUGAGAAAACCGAGAGACACACUAUGGAGAAGCAUGGUUGUGCUACUGGGCAUUGGUUUCAUCUGGUGUCUAUGUUUGACAUAUUACUUCCUGAGCAAUGCGGAACAGGAGGGCAUCAGCUUGACCGGUCACAACAGACUGAGGCAGCCGAUAAAAACAGCCAGGUCUGAAGA